GAUUGAACGCUGGCGGCAUGCUUUCCACAUGCAAGUCGAACGGUAACCGGCCUUCGGGUGCUGACGAGUGGCGAACGGGUGAGUAAUGCAUCGGAACGUGCCCAGAGGUGGGGGAUAACGCAGCGAAAGCUGUGCUAAUACCGCAUGUGAUCUGAGGAUGAAAGCGGGGGACCAAGCAGCAAUGUUUGGCCUCGCGCCUCUGGAGCGGCCGAUGUCAGAUUAGGUAGUUGGUGGGGUAAAGGCCUACCAAGCCGACGAUCUGUAGCUGGUCUGAGAGGACGACCAGCCACACUGGGACUGAGACACGGCCCAGACUCCUACGGGAGGCAGCAGUGGGGAAUUUUGGACAAUGGGCGCAAGCCUGAUCCAGCAAUGCCGCGUGCGGGAAGAAGGCCUUCGGGUUGUAAACCGCUUUUGUACGGAACGAAAAGGCUCUGGCUAAUACCUGGGGCUGAUGACGGUACCGUAAGAAUAAGCACCGGCUAACUACGUG
rnacentral:rRNA from 1 species